CACGUAGGCUGUUUGGUAAGCCAGGGGUGAAAUCCCGCGGCUCAACCGCGGAAUUGCCCUUGAUACUGCUGGACUUGAGUUCGGGAGAGGGUGGCGGAAUUCCAGGUGUAGGAGUGAAAUCCGUAGAUAUCUGGAGGAACAUCAGUGGCGAAGGCGGCCACCUGGACCGAUACUGACGCUGAGGUGCGAAAGCGUGGGGAGCAAACA
rnacentral:rRNA from 1 species